UCCGAAACUUUAUACAUUCUUAAUCAUCACUGCAUAAUUUCACGUAAUACAUAUCAAAACCCGCAAGCAAUAACAUAACACAACAUUUGUAAAUUGCACAACAAAAGCCAAAAAAAAAAAAACACAAUUUAAAUUCUGAAAAAAUAAAUAAACUAGAACAGACAAGAACUGAAACUGAACCAAAACCUUAAAUUAUUACCACGCAGGUUUGGUGUCCCAAACAGAGUCAUACUCAAGAGACAGGUUGUUAAGAUAAGACUCCAUGUCAUCAACUGUGCCAUUAUCAUCCUUACUAGAAUUGCUGCUCCACCUUAAAUCUUUUCCUCCAUUGAUACUAAAUUUGCUUAAACUACAGUGUUUAUAUGUAAAUGAGCAUCUGUUUGUGGGAAUUAAGAGAUGAGUUUUGCAGAUUUGGUGAUGGGGUUGUAGUGAAGUAGUUAUAGAGAGAGGAGAGAGAAGUUGAGUUAUCAUCAUCAUCUUCCCUCUUUUUCACCUCAAGAUAGAGCUUUAACAACCUUUCAAGUUUCAACAAUUAUACCUUUCUUUUGUUCUAUUGACUUUGAGGUGAGUAAUUUUAGGGCUGGUAUUGUAUCAUGACUUUUAAUAGCAAAUUUUGCGAGGAUGAUUUUAAUAGAUUUUAGAGACUUUUAAUGACUCUUGUUGACUUCUUAAGAUUUCAAAAAAAAUUCAUGACUCCUAACACUAUGACUUUUAAAAACUUUAACAGACCUUUUUUUUUUACAAAUUCAUGACUUUCAGAUACUUUAAUAGGCUUUUCUUAAAAUCAUAAAUAACCUCUCUGAACCUUUUGCUAUACCUUUUAUUGGCUAAUUUGUGUUUCAUGUACUCUAUACUAUUUUCUAUAUCUUUGUGACUGCUCGUGUUGUAAUUUACAGAAUUUUUAUGCUGCAUAACCUGAUAUAAUUAUAAAGCUGGAUGUCCUUGUUUUACUAGUAACUUUUUUGGUACUUCAUGAUUAUUUCAAGUGGAUCAAGUUGCUGUGUUAUUUAAUUGUUGAUUCUUGCAUAAUACAAAUACUUUAGAUUUUUGUGAUCAGGUAACUANUUUUUCAGGUAUGCGAGUGGAAGAAAGAAUGAUAGCGGGACCUUUAUGGGUGUUUUCUUAUCGAACAUUAAAGCUUUAUUGUCUAAGUGUCCCCGGUCAUCUCUGCAUGUCCGAGGGUUAGAUGGUAAACUUUCUUGAACGAAAGGAACUCCUUGCAGCGGCCUUUGUAUUCCGAUACAAUUCGUUAUACGAGAAAGUAUCUUGUGACAAAAAAAAAAAACUAUUACAAACAAAGGAAAUAAACAAUUCUAAUCAAAAUUUAGAUAUGAUCACCGAGAAGGCAAUAAUUAAUUUUCAGAUUACGCUGUGUUACGGGGCAAUAUGAUUUAAAAGUGACCAAGAUACACUGUUGCAGUGCAAAUGCUGUUAAAAAAACAACUCCAGAGUAAAGAGCUAACAAGUGUUUGGUAAAGUACAUGAUCACAAGUUAGAGAUUAAUAGGGAGUUAGUAUCAGAUUUCAGUACAUUUAAGUCAAAGCUUAGUGUUUAUUUCUGUCUACGUUCCUCAUAAGUUACACUGCAGAUACCUUUUACCGGGCCAGCUUCCUAGAAGAACAACAAUGAAUACUACUUUUACUCUUUUAGCCGUAAAAUUCAAUAAGGGAAAUCAUUUAUCAAUAAUCCGAAACUUUAUACAUUCUUAAUCAUCACUGCAUAAUUUCACGUAAUACAUAUCAAAACCCGCAAGCAAUAACAUAACACAACAUUUGUAAAUUGCACAACAAAAGCCAAAAAAAAAAAAACACAAUUUAAAUUCUGAAAAAAUAAAUAAACUAGAACAGACAAGAACUGAAACUGAACCAAAACCUUAAAUUAUUACCACGCAGGUUUGGUGUCCCAAACAGAGUCAUACUCAAGAGACAGGUUGUUAAGAUAAGACUCCAUGUCAUCAACUGUGCCAUUAUCAUCCUUACUAGAAUUGCUGCUCCACCUUAAAUCUUUUCCUCCAUUGAUACUAAAUUU
rnacentral:lncRNA from 1 species